rnacentral:rRNA from 1 species
UGGGGAAUUUUGGACAAUGGGCGAAAGCCUGAUCCAGCAAUGCCGCGUGUGUGAAGAAGGCCUUCGGGUUGUAAAGCACUUUUGUCCGGAAAGAAAUCCUUGGCUCUAAUACAGUCGGGGGAUGACGGUACCGGAAGAAUAAGCACCGGCUAACUACGUGCCAGCAGCCGCGGUAAUACGUAGGGUGCAAGCGUUAAUCGGAAUUACUGGGCGUAAAGCGUGCGCAGGCGGUUUGCUAAGACCGAUGUGAAAUCCCCGGGCUCAACCUGGGAACUGCAUUGGUGACUGGCAGGCUAGAGUAUGGCAGAGGGGGGUAGAAUUUCACGUGUAGCAGUGAAAUGCGUAGAGAUGUGGAGGAAUACCGAUGGCGAAGGCAGCCCCCUGGGCCAAUACUGACGCUCAUGCACGAAAGCGUGGGGAGCAAACAGGAUUAGAUACCCUGGUAGUCCACGCCCUAAACGAUGUCAACUAGUUGUUGGGGAUUCAUUUCCUAGUAACGUAGCUAACGCGUGAAGUUGACCGCCUGGGGAGUACGGUCGCAAGAUUAAAACUUAAAUGAAUUGACGGGGUCAUAGCUGUUUCCU